rnacentral:rRNA from 1 species
UGCUUAACACAUGCAAGUCGAACGGAAAGGCCCUGCUUUUGUGGGGUGCUCGAGUGGCGAACGGGUGAGUAACACGUGAGUAACCUGCCCUUGACUUUGGGAUAACUUCAGGAAACUGGGGCUAAUACCGGAUAGGAGCUCCUGCUGCAUGGUGGGGGUUGGAAAGUUUCGGCGGUUGGGGAUGGACUCGCGGCUUAUCAGCUUGUUGGUGGGGUAGUGGCUUACCAAGGCUUUGACGGGUAGCCGGCCUGAGAGGGUGACCGGCCACAUUGGGACUGAGAUACGGCCCAGACUCCUACGGGAGGCAGCAGUGGGGAAUAUUGCACAAUGGGCGGAAGCCUGAUGCAGCAACGCCGCGUGCGGGAUGACGGCCUUCGGGUUGUAAACCGCUUUCGCCUGUGACGAAGCGUGAGUGACGGUAAUGGGUAAAGAAGCACCGGCCAACUACGUGCCAGCAGCCGCGGUGAUACGUAGGGAGCGAGCGUUGUCCGGAUUUAUUGGGCGUAAAGGGCUCGUAGGUGGUUGAUCGCGUCGGAAGUGUAAUCUUGGGGCUUAACCCUGAGUGUGCUUUCGAUACGGGUUGACUUGAGGAAGGUAGGGGAGAAUGGAAUUCCUGGUGGAGCGGUGGAAUGCGCAGAUAUCAGGAGGAACACCAGUGGCGAAGGCGGUUCUCUGGGCCUUUCCUGACGCUGAGGAGCGAAAGCGUGGGGAGCGAACAGGCUUAGAUACCCUGGUAGUCCACGCUGUAAACGGUGGGUACUAGGUGUGGGGUCCAUUCCACGGGUUCCGUGCCGUAGCUAACGCUUUAAGUACCCCGCCUGGGGAGUACGGCCGCAAGGCUAAAACUCAAAGGAAUUGACGGGGCCCCGCACAAGCGGCGGAGCAUGCGGAUUAAUUCGAUGCAACGCGUAGAACCUUACCUGGGUUUGACAUGGAUCGGGAGCGCUCAGAGAUGGGUGUGCCUCUUUUGGGGUCGGUUCACAGGUGGUGCAUGGCUGUCGUCAGCUCGUGUCGUGAGAUGUUGGGUUAAGUCCCGCAACGAGCGCAACCCUUGUUCACUGUUGCCAGCACGUUAUGGUGGGGACUCAGUGGAGACCGCCGGGGUCAACUCGGAGGAAGGUGGGGAUGACGUCAAGUCAUCAUGCCCCUUAUGUCCAGGGCUUCACGCAUGCUACAAUGGCUGGUACAGAGAGUGGCGAGCCUGUGAGGGUGAGCGAAUCUCGGAAAGCCGGUCUCAGUUCGGAUUGGGGUCUGCAACUCGACCUCAUGAAGUCGGAGUCGCUAGUAAUCGCAGAUCAGCAACGCUGCGGUGAAUACGUUCCCGGGGCUUGUACACACCGCCCGUCAAGUCAUGAAAGUUGGUAACACCCGAAGCCGGUGGCCUAACCGUUGUGGGGGAGCCGUCGAAGGUGGGACUGGUGAUUAGGACUAA